AGAGUUUGAUCAUGGCUCAGAACGAACGCUGGCGGCGUGCUUAACACAUGCAAGUCGAACGUGAUCCAGAGCUUGCUCUGGUGAAAGUGGCGCACGGGUGAGUAACGCGUGGAUAACCUGCCCUGGUAUCUGGGAUAACAUCUCGAAAGGGGUGCUAAUACCGGAUAAGCCUACGGGGUCCUCGGACUCUGCAGGAAAAGGUGGCCUCUAUUUAUAAGCUACCGUAUCAGGAUGGGUCCGCGUACCAUUAGCUAGUUGGUGGGGUAAUGGCCCACCAAGGCGACGAUGGUUAGCUGGUCUGAGAGGAUGAUCAGCCACACUGGAACUGAGACACGGUCCAGUCUCCUACGGGAGGCAGCAGUGGGGAAUUUUGCGCAAUGGGGGAAACCCUGACGCAGCAACGCCGCGUGAGUGAUGAAGGCUUUCGGGUCGUAAAGCUCUGUCAGAGGGGAAGAAAUGAGCCUGGCUAAUAUCCAGGUUUCUUGACGGUACCCUCAAAGGAAGCACCGGCUAACUCCGUGCCAGCCGCCGCGGUAAUUC
rnacentral:rRNA from 1 species